UCCGCUCCAGUAACAUUCAGUAAAUCGUGAAACUAAAAGCUAAUAGAAAUGACAUCAUUGUUUCAUUUUAUUUCUGCAUAAUUAAGCGUGCAGAUUAAAUGCGUGUCUUUUACAGGAAUUAUUCAUCACUUAUGAAGAGCGAGAAAAUGACCACAAACGAGGGUGGUAACGAUUCUGACGAUUUUAUGUAACUGGAGGAAAAAGGAAAACGAUCUGUGAAGCAGGCCAGACAUCUGUAACCUAUGCGCAUGCGCAGAGGAACAAUGUGCCACAGUGUGCACUGUAAUGGAAGAACUUGCUUGUUGUGCAUCUUAAAUAUAAACAUGUGCCAAAUAAAAUCAUGGAGCAAAUUCACCAAUGGCUUCUUUAAAAAAAUAUAUAACAGACAAGGAAAAAGCAACAACUCAUAUGACAGGAUUUUCUCCUGUACAAAAUUUGAUAUUGUGCUUUGGAGGAUUGGAAUCGCAUGGUGUAAUUAUUCCCUAACUGAUAAUGCAGCAGUGACAUGUUUUCUUUCCAGAUUUUUACAGAUCAGGGUUUGGAUGCUGUUUUUUUCACUGA